AUUGAACGCUGGCGGCAGGCUUAACACAUGCAAGUCGAGCGAGCGGCGGACGGGUGAGUAAUGUAUGUGAAACUGCCUGAUGGAGGGGGAUAACUACUGGAAACGGUAGCUAAUACCGCAUACCAUCAGAUGUGCCCAGAUGGGAUUGGCUAGUGGGGGGGGUAAGGGAUCACCUAGGCGACGAUCCCUAGCUGGUCUGAGAGGAGGACCAGCCACACUGGAACGGAGACACGGUCCAGAAUCCUACGGGAGGCAGCAGUGGGGAAUAUUGCACAAUGGGCGCAAGCCUGAUGCAGCCAUGCCGCGUGUGUGAAGAAGGCCUUCGGGUUGUAAAGCACUUUAAGCGAGGAGGCGUUACUCGCAGAAGAAGCACCGGCUAACUCCGUGCCAGCAGCCGCGGUAAUAC
rnacentral:rRNA from 1 species